rnacentral:rRNA from 1 species
GACGUAGGGCGCGAGCGUUUGUCCGGAUUUAUUGGGCGUAAAGAGCUCGUAGGCGGCUUGUUGCGUCGACUGUGAAAACCCGCGGCUUAACCGCGGGCUUGCAGUUGAUACGGGCAGGCUAGAGUUCGGUAGGGGAGACUGGAAUUCCUGGUGUAGCGGUGAAAUGCGCAGAUAUCAGGAGGAACACCGGUGGCGAAGGCGGGACUCUGGGCCGAUACUGACGCUGAGGAGCGAAAGCGUGGGGAGCAAACAGG